UACGGGGGGGGCAAGCGUUGUUCGGAAUUACUGGGCGUAAAGGGCUCGUAGGCGGCCAACUAAGUCAGACGUGAAAUCCCCAGGCUUAACCUGGGAACUGCGUCUGAUACUGGAUGGCUUGAAUUCGGGAGAGGGAUGCAGAAUUCCAGGUGUAGCGGUGAAAUGCGUAGAUAUCAGGAGGAACACCGGUGGCGAAGGCGGGUCUCUGGGCAGUAACUGACGCUGAGGAGCGAAAGCGUGGGGAGCGAACAGG
rnacentral:rRNA from 1 species